UAAGAAUUCUCUGAAUUACAUACUAUUAUUUUUCUUACUUUACAGAUGGGGAAACCAAGGCUUAGUGGCCUUAAUAAUAUUUAACGCUGGUAGCAGAGUAAAGAGUAAAGGCUGACUGCAUACAGGCUGUCUGAUUCAGGAGCCCACGUGUUUAAUUGCUGGGCUGUCCUGCCUGUGAAUUUAAGUCCUUGUGGAAAAAUGUCUGGAAAGGAAACACAAGACCUUCAGCCAAGUCAGCUGGUCAGACCCUGCGAGUGGCAGCGGGCCCGACUGGAAAGGAAGCAGGAAGGGCCUCUAGGAGGAAGCAGGGCUGAUGUGCUGGGUGGUCCUGGGAUGACUGGUUUGGGAAGGCAGACGGUCAAGGCUACCGUUGUCUGGAAGGAAGGGCUUCCUGCUGUGGCUGCAAGGAGAACUGUCCGUACUUACCUGCGGCAGUGAAUUGUCCAGACUGGAUCUAUUUGCCUGAAGGCAGUGGCACAGGGACUCGGGGCGCUUGGUGGAGACUGGACAGCACUAGUGUGACAAGGUCUAUGCCUGGUGCCUUCAAUGGUGAUCUUUUUCCUUCUCCCAAGUUUGAGACGGAUGCAGUGGAGUAGGAGCUAUGUUCCUACCAGAGCCAGGACCAGCUCCAUCACCUGACGCAGCGGAGAGGGCUUUACCCAAAAGUGAUCCUGGGAACCAGCACCAGCCUUAACGCCUCACAGUGCAUCACAGACGUUGACAGGGAGAGCCCAGGGAUGUCUCACAACUGCCUUGCCAGGAAGAGGGUGUUUGAGGUUGAACCAGUCUUAGAUCUGUAGGUGGGACAAGUGCACCCAUAUUCCGUGCCUUGGGCAACCAAUAAAGUUAAGUUGUAAACAUCUCAGUGCUUUUCACAGCAAGCAUCUGGGCUUCUCACCACCUUUCCCCCAACCUGCUGGUAUUCUCAUCCCUUCAAAGAUGACGGCUCAGACGCCACCCCAGAGUGUCCCAUUCUAGACCUCCUCAGGCAGGUCUCACACUCAGACGUUCCCUUGGGAUGGAACCCACACAGGAAGCUGCCUCGGGUGUCUUCCCAGGAGAGUUCCAGGAGGCUGCAGACAUUUAUAACACAUGUCAGUCCUAGAGCCACACCUACAUGGAAGCAGUGAAAUAUUUAGGUGUUCUGCAGUCCCUGUCCCUGAUAAGAAGGGUGCAGGGAGAAAGCCACCGUAACUGGAUAAUUAGCAGAAGUGACAGUCGGGCCACUGCACUCACAGUUUCUGUUCCUCACCUCAUUUGUGGAGGCUGCAGGGUAAUCUUAACUCCCAAACCAUUUUAGGAUAGUUGAGAGCAAUUUCCUAUCCUCCUCAUACAGCUACAGAUAUAGUACUUGUAGCCAGGAUUUGGGGGGAAAGUGAAGAAAUGGGUUAUUUCAUGUUUGAGAUACAGCAACGCCCUGUCAGUGGGUUACUUGGAACUUCUGGACUUCAUCCGGCCUGAGGGCCCCACACAGGAGAGCCUAGUCAGCUUAUCACCCAGAAGCUCACCUGGGGAUGGGGUCAGGUAACCAGAGCCACCGAUCUGGGGCGGCAGCUGCCUUAGAAACCCCACCUGCACACUAUAGUUCAGAGACAGAUGCAGGAGGGUCUGAGAGGUGAACAGGUGCAGAACCCUGAGUCUGAAAGCCCCCUUCUUAACUGGCACCUCAGGCAGGACUUUUCUGGUCCUCCCCUGAAAAAUGAGAGAUUUGGGCACUCAUAUGAUCUUUCCUACAUACCACAAGAAUAUUGAUUUAUUAAU